UACAGAGGUCUCAAGCGUUUGUUCGGAUUCAUUGGGCGUAAAGGGUGCGUAGGCGGCGCGGUAAGUCGGGUGUGAAAUCUCGGAGCUUAACUCCGAAACUGCAUUCGAUACUGCCGUGCUUGAGGACUGGAGAGGAGACUGGAAUUUACGGUGUAGCGGUGAAAUGCGUAGAUAUCGUAAGGAAGACCAGUGGGCGAAGGCGGGUCUCUGGACAGUUCCUGACGCUGAGGCACGAAGGUCAGGGGAGCAAACGGGG
rnacentral:rRNA from 1 species